CGAAAGCCUGACGGAGCAACGCCGCGUGUGGGAAGAAGGCUCUUGGGCUGUCAACCACUUUUCUCAGGGAAGAAGAACUGACGGUACCUGAGGAAUAAGCCUCGGCUAACUCCGUGCCAGCAGCCGCGGUAAGACGGAGGAGGCAAGCGUUAUCCGGAAUUAUUGGGCGUAAAGCGUCCGCAGGGGGCGCAUCAAGUCUGCUGUCAAAGGUCGGAGCUUAACUCCGGUUCGGCAGUGGAAACUGGUGCGCUAGAGGGCGACAGGGGUAGAGGGAAUUCCCAGUGUAGCGGUGAAAUGCGUAGAUAUUGGGAAGAACACCAGAGGCGAAAGCGUUCUGCUGGGCCGCGCCUGACCCUGAGGGACGAAAGCCAGGGGAGCG
rnacentral:rRNA from 1 species